rfam:Picea glauca, whole genome shotgun sequence.
ACUGGAAUAGUUCAGUUGGUUAGAGCGUGUGGCUCUUAACCACAAGGUAUUGAGGUUCAAGCCCUCCUUCAAGAG